rnacentral:rRNA from 1 species
CCUACGGGAUGCAGCAGGAGAGAAUCAGGAACAAUGGGGGAAAAAAGGAGGGGGAGAGGAAGAGGGGGGGAAUGAAGGUCUUCGGAUUGUAAACCCCUGUCAUGUGGGAGCAAAUUAAAAAGAUAGUACCACAAGAGGAAGAGACGGCUAACUCUGUGCCAGCAGCCGCGGUAAUACAGAGGUCUCAAGCGUUGUUCGGAAUCACUGGGCGUAAAGCGUGCGUAGGCUGUUUCGUAAGUCGUGUGUGAAAGGCGCGGGCUCAACCCGCGGACGGCACAUGAUACUGCGAGACUAGAGUAAUGGAGGGGGAACCGGAAUUCUCGGUGUAGCAGUGAAAUGCGUAGAUAUCGAGAGGAACACUCGUGGCGAAGGCGGGUUCCUGGACAUUAACUGACGCUGAGGCACGAAGGCCAGGGGAGCGAAAGGGAUUAGAUACCCGUGUAGUC